GAUGAACGCUAGCGGGAGGCCUAACACAUGCAAGCCGAGCGGUAUUGUUUCUUCGGCAAUGCGAGAGCGGCGUACGGGUGCGUAACACGUGUGCAACCUGCCUUUAUCUGGGGGAUAGCCUUUCGAAAGGAAGAUUAAUACUCCAUAAUAUAUUGAACGGCAUCGUUUAAUAUUGAAAGCCCCGGCGGAUAGAGAUGGGCACGCGCAAGAUUAGCUAGUUGGUGAGGUAACGGCUCACCAAGGCGAUGAUCUUUAGGGGGCCUGAGAGGGUGAUCCCCCACACUGGUACUGAGACACGGACCAGGCUCCUACGGGAGGCAGCAGUGAGGAAUAUUGGUCAAUGGGUGCAAGCCUGAACCAGCCAUCCCGCGUGAAGGACGACUGCCCUAUGGGUUGUAAACUUCUUUUGUAUAGGGAUAAACCUACCCUCGUGAGGGUAGCUGAAGGUACUAUACGAAUAAGCACCGGCUAACUCCGUG
rnacentral:rRNA from 1 species